rnacentral:rRNA from 1 species
GAUGAACGCUGGCGGCGUGCCUAAUACAUGCAAGUCGAGCGAACGGACGAGAAGCUUGCUUCUCUGAUGUUAGCGGCGGACGGGUGAGUAACACGUGGAUAACCUACCUAUAAGACUGGGAUAACUUCGGGAAACCGGAGCUAAUACCGGAUAAUAUUUUGAACCGCAUGGUUCAAAAGUGAAAGACGGUCUUGCUGUCACUUAUAGAUGGAUCCGCGCUGCAUUAGCUAGUUGGUAAGGUAACGGCUUACCAAGGCAACGAUGCAUAGCCGACCUGAGAGGUUGAUCGGCCACACGGGAACUGAGCCACGGUCCAGACUCCUACGGGAGGCAGCAGUAGGGAAUCUUCCGCAAUGGGCGAAAGCCUGACGGAGCAACGCCGCGUGAGUGAUGAAGUUCUUCGGAUCGUAAAACUCUGUUAUUAGGGAAGAACAUAUGUGUAAGUAACUGUGCACAUCUUGACGGUACCUAAUCAGAAAGCCACGGCUAACUACGUG